UAGGAGACUGCCGGUGACAAACCGGAGGAAGGUGGGGAUGACGUCAAGUCAUCAUGGCCCUUACGGCCUGGGCUACACACGUGCUACAAUGGUCGGUACAAAGGGUUGCCAAGCCGCGAGGUGGAGCUAAUCCCAUAAAACCGAUCGUAGUCCGGAUCGCAGUCUGCAACUCGACUGCGUGAAGUCGGAAUCGCUAGUAAUCGUGAAUCAGAAUGUCACGGUGAAUACGUUCCCGGGCCUU
rnacentral:rRNA from 1 species